UACAGAGGGGGCAAGCGUUGUUCGGAAUUACUGGGCGUAAAGGGCGCGUAGGUGGCCUUCUAAGUUGAACGUGAAAUCCCUGGGCUCAACCCAGGAACUGCGUCCAAGACUGGGAGGCUUGAAUCCGGGAGAGGGAUGCGGAAUUCCAGGUGUAGAGGUGAAAUUCGUAGAUAUUCGCAAGAACACCAGUGGCGAAGGCGGCUCACUGGCCCGAUACUGACGCUGAGGUGCGAAAGCGUGGGGAGCAAACAGG
rnacentral:rRNA from 1 species